UACGGAGGGAGCUAGCGUUGUUCGGAAUUACUGGGCGUAAAGCGCGCGUAGGCGGCUUUGUAAGUUAGAGGUGAAAGCCCGGGGCUCAACUCCGGAACUGCCUUUAAGACUGCAUCGCUUGAAUCCGGGAGAGGUGAGUGGAAUUCCGAGUGUAGAGGUGAAAUUCGUAGAUAUUCGGAAGAACACCAGUGGCGAAGGCGGCUCACUGGACCGGUAUUGACGCUGAGGCGCGAAAGCCAGGGGAGCAAACGGG
rnacentral:rRNA from 1 species